AGGUUUUUAUUUGCUUUUCAACAUCCAUUUCAUAGUGGUACAUGUGGCUUUGAUUAAUAUUACCAUAAAGACUGCCAAAAAUGGGUGUGGUACGGAAACCCAGAAAUGGCAUGAGUUCAACAUCAAACAUGGAUUAGAAUUUUAGCGGGGGAUCAAGUCAAGUCUGGAAGUGUUACAGGAUGGAAGAGUGAGCCUACAGUUGAAAAAACACAGAGUACAUUACCAUUAAGCAAUCCUUCAUAGUUCUGUCACAGCUAGAAGCCUCAAAUAAUUCUGCUUCUCUUGCUAAAGAACAGCUUGUCCUUUACGUUCAGAGUGUUUGUGAAGCUGGGUACUUAAAUGGCCCUAAUGAUGUUUCACUUUGCUGGCAUUGCAGCGGUGAACAUCAUACAUGGACUCUUUAGGAAAGGAUUUUCAGCAUACUGGGAACACAACUAUCGACAAUGCAACAUUCUACAGGUGCUAUUUUAUCAUUUAAGAGCCUUAUACAAUGAUUUUCUUCUGCAAUUUGUAUGGCCUUUCCCAAGCUUCUGCCAGAAGUUGAAUCUAUGAGUCAUGUAAGUCACAUAGCAACAAUUGAGAUGCUUAAUGGUGUUGUUUUUCUUUUCUCAAUAUAGGUUAAUAGUAACAUUGGAUCUGAAAAGAUUCUUGGUUGGGGCAAGACACUGAAUAAAUUGUAAUGAUAGG